rnacentral:rRNA from 1 species
CCCAUUUGGAAUUACGUGGCCAGUUCAUACUAGGCCAUCCAUCUGAAGCUAAGCAGGUUUGGUUCUGGCCAGAACUUAGACGGGAGACCAAACAGGAAAGCCAGGUUGCUGCUGGAA